GAUUCUCCUGCCUCAGCUUCCCGAGUAGCUGGGACUACAAGUGACAAAUGCUACAGUGACUCCCUGUUCUGCAUUCUACCACCCUCAAGUAUGGAGGCAGCAUGAAGUACUGGAAAGGGCAAGGUCUUUGGAGUCAGGCAGACCUCGUGGCCCAGCCUCAUCAUUAACUAGUGAGGGGACUAGAAUUUAACAGUCUCUUCAAUCAUGGAGCAUGUGGGAAUUUAAAUAUGGUCUGCAGACUCUAUGAGGCAAAAGAGGAGGGAGCAAAAGGAAGUCAGUAAGGGGCGAGAGAGCAAGAGGAAGACAUUGAAUCCGUAUGUACCACCUUAUGAAGGCUGUCAUGGAGCAAGCGCAUACUAAAAUAUUGUUCAUGUUUGUCUGACAUUCAAAUGUAACAGAUCACCCUGUAUUUUUAUGUGCUAAAUCUGGCCAUCCGUCUAUGCCUGUGGCUUGGGUUUUGCCAUUUCAGCGUCAGCGAGUGGAACCUCCUCCUAAUUACUCCCUGCUAAUUGGAACCAGCUGCCACCAGGAGGCAGCCGGGCGCUGCGUCCACCCAAGAUGAGGACAGUGUCUGAGAUUCUAGAGAACUCUGAGUCUACCUUCCUCUCGAACUCUCCUGACACUCAUUUCCAAUUCUAGCCACAACUUUCCACUGGUCUCUCCUAAUCUUGCUUUAGUAGAAUAGCCAAACUUUAAAAAAAAUUUAUACUCCAUUUAAAGGUAAAAAGAAUCCAUAACAUCACAUGCAUCUUGCCUCCCUAAAUAAUUGCAGUUAGAAAUUAAUUCAUCUUACUUUAAAAACCUAAAUUUAGCCUCAACUAGUCACAGCUCCUGUCACUCACCCCCUUGACCUGGGGGUCCCCUUUGCUCCCAGCUACUCCCCUGUCCCUGUCCUUGCUCCCUCUCUUCACUGUCCCCUUCCUUCUUCAGCCGUCACUAUGGUUACAGGGUGACCUGUUUCUGUGAUGCCCUCUUCCAUAGCCUGCUUCCGAGGUAAUUUCCCCAGUGAAUUCCACCUCCUCUCAGUUAUCUCUGCCCUUAUCCUCCUUCAAUGGGGGGGAAAAGAAUCAGAGAGAAAGAAAGCGCAUGCAUCCAGCAGCUCAGAUACCAGAAUUCUUUCUGUUACCAGGAGACUUUCUCCAAUCAAUGUUUCCUCUUUUUUUGUUUUCCUUCUUUAUGAGGAAAAGCUGUUCCCGACUCUGCCUCUUACUCUGGCGUAAACCUAAAUCCACUUAUAAAAGUUAACUAAACAC